AAAUUGGCCAAUGAAGUUGAAAAAGCGUGGGGGACAAACCGGGUUUAUUUCCCCUGGUUAUUCCACCCCCUUAAAGGAAUUUUUCUGUGGAGGUUGGGGCCCUUGAACCUGGGUUUUGGAGUUAACGGCGUUAAAUAGACGCCCUGGGGGAGUACGUUGGAAGAUUAAAACUAAAUGAAUGUCGGGGCCCGCACAAGCGGUGGAGCAUUUGUUUAAUUGGAUCAACGGGGAAGAACAUUACUAUUUUUGAUUCCCAGAGAACUUCCAGAGAUGGAUUGGUGCCUUCGGGAACUCUGAGACAGGUGCUGCAUGGCUGUCGUCAGCUCGUGUUGUGAAAUGUUGGGUUAAGUCCCGCAACGAGCGCAACCCUUAUCCUUGUUUGCCAGCGAGUAAUGUCGGGAACUCCAGGGAGACUGCCGGUGAUAAACCGGAGGAAGGUGGGGACGACGUCAAGUCAUCAUGGCCCUUACGAGUAGGGCUACACACGUGCUACAAUGGCGCAUACAGAGGGCGGCCAACUUGCGAGAGUGAGCGAAUCCCAAAAAGUGCGUCGUAGUCCGGAUCGGAGUCUGCAACUCGACUCCGUGAAGUCGGAAUCGCUAGUAAUCGUGGAUCAGAAUGCCACGGUGAAUACGUUCCCGGGCCUUGUACACACCGCCCGUCACACCAUGGGAGUGGGCUGCAAAUAGAAGUAGGCAACGAUAACGGCGUCGAGCGGCGGACGGGUGAGUAAUGCCUAGGAAAUUGCCCUGAUGUGGGGGAUAACCAUUGGAAACGAUGGCUAAUACCGCAUAAUGCCUACGGGCCAAAGAGGGGGACCUUCGGGCCUCUCGCGUCAGGAUAUGCCUAGGUGGGAUUAGCUAGUUGGUGAGGUAAGGGCUCACCAAGGCGACGAUCCCUAGCUGGUCUGAGAGGAUGAUCAGCCACACUGGAACUGAGACACGGUCCAGACUCCUACGGGAGGCAGCAGUGGGGAAUAUUGCACAAUGGGCGCAAGCCUGAUGCAGCCAUGCCGCGUGUGUGAAGAAGGCCUUCGGGUUGUAAAGCACUUUCAGUCGUGAGGAAGGUAGUGUAGUUAAUAGCUGCAUUAUUUGACGUUAGCGACAGAAGAAGCACCGGCUAACUCCGUGCCAGCAGCCGCGGUAAUACGGAGGGUGCGAGCGUUAAUCGGAAUUACUGGGCGUAAAGCGCAUGCAGGUGGUUUGUUAAGUCAGAUGUGAAAGCCCGGGGCUCAACCUCGGAAUUGCAUUUGAAACUGGCAGACUAGAGUACUGUAGAGGGGGGUAGAAUUUCAGGUGUAGCGGUGAAAUGCGUAGAGAUCUGAAGGAAUACCCGGUGGCGAAGGCGGCCCCCUGGACAGAUACUGACACUCAGAUGCGAAAGCGUGGGGAGCAAACCAG
rnacentral:rRNA from 1 species